AAUUUCCUUCUCCUAUUAUGUGAUACAAAUGCUGGUAUUUUUGUUCUUUGUGACUACUGAAUGCAAUCUUUUAGCCUCCCUGGGCAAGGACAUUUAUAUGCCAAUCAGACAACCCAUGCUCUAUCCUGUCACUAUGUCCCAAGUUUGUUGUAUCCAAUUAGUGGCUUCAUGUUACGGGCAUGGAGUUAUCCAUACUAUGUUUUUAGGAGGUUCAAUCUCUAUAUUUGCCUUUUGUAAGUUCAAACCAUCAUCAGCUUUUUUGGUGACAGUUUCCCACUCUUGGUCCUCUCCUGCUCAGACACCUACAUAAUGAAUUCUUUGUUCUUUUUCACUGGGUGCUUCAUUUGGAUGAGCUCUUGACCAGUCAUCCUUGUCUCCCACAUGUUCAUCAUUGUCACUUUCUUGAGGAUCUUCUCAGUUGUAGUUGAAUCUAAAGGUUUUCUUGCUUUUUCUUCACAUCUAACUGCUAUCAUUCUCUUCUAUGGGGACAUUAUAUUUAUAUAUGUGACAUUCUUCCAACUAUUUUCUGAACCAAGACCAGACUGUAUCCAUUUUCUACAUGGUAAGAAUUCUUUUGUUAAGCCCCAUUAUCUAUUGUUUAAUAAAAAUGCAAGUG
rnacentral:lncRNA from 1 species